rnacentral:tRNA from 2 species
GGGCCUCUAGCUCAACCGGUCAGAGCUGCGGACUUUUAAUCCGUAGGUUGUGGGUUCGAGUCCCACGGGGCCCA